AGAGUUUGAUCCUGGCUCAGGAUGAACGCUGGCGGCGUGCCUAAUACAUGCAAGUCGGACGCACUUUCGUUAAAUGAAUUAGAGAUGCUUGCAUCGAAGAUGAUUUUAACUAUAAAGUGAGUGGCGAACGGGUGAGUAACACGUGGGUAACCUGCCCAGAAGCGGGGGAUAACACCUGGAAACAGAUGCUAAUACCGCAUAAUAACGAAAACCGCAUGGUUUUCGUUUAAAAGAUGGCUUCGGCUAUCACUUCUGGAUGGACCCGCGGCGUAUUAGCUAGUUGGUGAGAUAAUGGCUCACCAAGGCAGUGAUACGUAGCCGACCUGAGAGGGUAAUCGGCCACAUUGGGACUGAGACACGGCCCAGACUCCUACGGGAGGCAGCAGUAGGGAAUCUUCCACAAUGGACGCAAGUCUGAUGGAGCAACGCCGCGUGAGUGAUGAAGGCUUUCGGGUCGUAAAACUCUGUUGUUGGAGAAGAACGUGUGUGAGAGUAACUGCUCAUGCAGUGACGGUAUCCAACCAGAAAGCCACGGCUAACUACGUGCCAGCAGCCGCGGUAAUACCGUAAGUGGGCA
rnacentral:rRNA from 1 species